rnacentral:rRNA from 1 species
UACGUAGGGGGCAAGCGUUGGUCCGGAUUUAUUGGGCGUAAAGAGCGUGUAGGCGGCCAGGGUAGGUCCGCUGUGAAAACAUCGAGGUUCAACCUCGAGAUGUCGGCGGAAACCAUCUGGCUAGAGUCCGGAAGAGGAGAGUGGAAUUCCUGGUGUAGCGGUGAAAUGCGCAGAUAUCAGGAAGAACACCCGUGGCGAAGGCGGCUCUCUGGGACGGUACUGACGCUGAGACGCGAAAAGCGUGGGGAGCGAACAGG